rnacentral:rRNA from 1 species
GACGAACGCUGGCGGCGUGCUUAACACAUGCAAGUCGAACGGAAAGGCCCUGCUGUUGUGGGGUGCUCGAGUGGCGAACGGGUGAGUAACACGUGAGUAACCUGCCCUUGACUUUGGGAUAACUUCAGGAAACUUGGGCUAAUACCGGAUAGGAGCUCCUGCUGCAUGGUGGGGGUUGGAAAGGUUCGGCGGUUGGGGAUGGACUCGCGGCUUAUCAGCUUGUUGGUGGGGUAGUGGCUUACCAAGGCUUUGACGGGUAGCCGGCCUGAGAGGGUGACCGGCCACAUUGGGACUGAGAUACGGCCCAGACUCCUACGGGAGGCAGCAGUGGGGAAUAUUGCACGAUGGGCGGAAGCCUGAUGCAGCAACGCCGCGUGCGGGAUGACGGCCUUCGGGUUGUAAACCGCUUUCGCCUGUGCCGAAGCGUGAGUGACGGUAAUGGGUAAAGAAGCACCGGCUAACUACGUG